AGAUGCAGCAGCUUCUCCCUUGUCUCGGGACUCUCGGCGCCAGGGUAGGAUCAGACGCUUUGUGAGGAAACACCUGGGCAAGGCUGUGGCUGUCAUCCAGGAAACAAGGCAGCAGCAGGUGGAAGAGCCAGACGUGGCACAAAGCUUGCGUGUGGAAUUACCAUCAAUGUCGCCUGCUGUAGUUCAGGACAGCGAGAACCAGCCAGGCAUUGCCACUCUUCCAGACCCAGGAGCGGCCCCACGGCGACGACUGAACCGCUUCAGGAGAGUGCUGAGGUCUCUGCGCAAGGCUUUCCGUUUCUCCUGCCUCACCCCACGUGUGGAGGAGUAGCGCUCUGCUGCCAGCGCCAGGCCCAAGGGAGCUGCGCUGAGGAUGUCAUGCUGCAGCCUACACUUGUUGUGGGUGCUUUCUUGGGCCAAUAAAUAAUAACUCUUUCUCCCUACCACCCCAGUGCUCGUCUCUGCCUGUAUGUUGGUUGGAACAUAUUUGUGUAAUUCAUGGACCUCUCUAUUUAAUUAGCGUAAAACGACUGACUUCAA